UCCUCUGGGUACCAGCUCCUUACUGCCCUGCAGACAAGCGUGCCGUGCGUGCUUGUGGCCAAGGGAAGGAAGAGUGGUUGAUCCACAGAUAGCUCCUUCCUCCCCGCCCCUUCCUUUUUGUUUGGAGGUCCCAGGAUCUGUGUUCACAGACAUCUGGGGGAAGAAAAGGAGCAGGAAACUACCCCGCACAGGUUAAGCAGGAAACAACAACAACAUCAUGCAAAAACCCUGCAAAGAAAACGAAGGAAAGCCAAAGUGCAGCGUGCCAAAGAGGGAGGAAAAACGCCCGUAUGGAGAAUUUGA
rnacentral:lncRNA from 1 species